CUACCAAGACAGUGACGGUUGACGGGAGAUCGGGGUCUGAUUCCGGAGAGGGAGCCUGAGAGAUGGCUCCCACGUCCAUGGACGGCAGCAGGCGCGGAAAUUGCCCACUCCCGCGCGGGGAGGCAGUUAUGAGACGUGGCUCAGGACCCGACAGCAGGAGCGUCGGGGUGACGCGACCGGAGGGCAAGUUUGGUGCCAGCAGCCGCGGUAAUACCGACUCCGGGAGUGCCCACGGUGGAUGCUGCAGUUAAAAAGUCCGUAGUUGUGGUGGCAGUUACAGCGCGGGGAUCGAGCCCGCAGAGUGUGCCGUCGGUGGCGGAGCGGACAGGGGGCACGGUAUAGGUGGGCGAGAGAUGAGAUGGCCAGGACCCCAUCUGGACCGGCAGAGGCGAAGGCGGUGCCCCGGGACGCGUCCGGGGAUCAAGGACGAAGGCUGGAGGAUCGAAGGUGAUUAGAGACCGCCGUAGUUCCAGCAGUAAAAGAUGCC
rnacentral:rRNA from 1 species